rnacentral:rRNA from 1 species
UUUGAUCAUGGCUCAGAUUGAACGCUGGCGGCAGGCCUAACACAUGCAAGUCGAGCGGCAGCACAGAGAAACUUGUUUCUCGGGUGGCGAGCGGCGGACGGGUGAGUAAUGCCUGGGAAAUUGCCCUGAUGUGGGGGAUAACCAUUGGAAACGAUGGCUAAUACCGCAUGAUAGCUUCGGCUCAAAGAGGGGGACCUUCGGGCCUCUCGCGUCAGGAUAUGCCCAGGUGGGAUUAGCUAGUUGGUGAGGUAAGGGCUCACCAAGGCGACGAUCCCUAGCUGGUCUGAGAGGAUGAUCAGCCACACUGGAACUGAGACACGGUCCAGACUCCUACGGGAGGCAGCAGUGGGGAAUAUUGCACAAUGGGCGCAAGCCUGAUGCAGCCAUGCCGCGUGUGUGAAGAAGGCCUUCGGGUUGUAAAGCACUUUCAGUCGUGAGGAAGGUG